rnacentral:rRNA from 1 species
AACGAACGCUGGCGGCAGGCUUAACACAUGCAAGUCGAGCGCCCCGCAAGGGGAGCGGCAGACGGGUGAGUAACGCGUGGGAAUCUACCCAUCUCUACGGAAUAACUCAGGGAAACUUGUGCUAAUACCGUAUACGCCCUUCGGGGGAAAGAUUUAUCGGGGAUGGAUGAGCCCGCGUUGGAUUAGCUAGUUGGUGGGGUAAUGGCCUACCAAGGCGACGAUCCAUAGCUGGUCUGAGAGGAUGAUCAGCCACACUGGGACUGAGACACGGCCCAGACUCCUACGGGAGGCAGCAGUGGGGAAUAUUGGACAAUGGGCGCAAGCUUGAUCCAGCCAUGCCGCGUGAGUGAUGAAGGCCCUAGGGUUGUAAAGCUCUUUCACCGGUGAAGAUAAUGACGGUAACCGGAGAAGAAGCCCCGGCUAACUUCGUGCCAGCCGCCGCAGUAACAC